GACGAACGCUGGCGGCGUGCCUAAUACAUGCAAGUCGAACGCAGUGGGGACGGGUGAGUAACACGUGGGUAACCUCCCAUCAGAGGGGAUAACACUUGGAAACAGGUGCUAAACCGAUACUGAUGGAUGGACCCGCGGUGCAUUAGCUAGGUGGGGAGGUAACGGCGCACCAAGGCCAAGAUGCAUAGCCGACAUGAGAGGGUGACCGGCCACACUGGGACUGAGACACGGCCCAGACUCCUACGGUAGGAAGAAGUAGGGAAUCUUCGGCAAUGGCCGAAAGCCUGACCGAGCAACGCCGCGUGAGUGAAGAAGGUGUUCGGAUCGUAAAACUCUGUUGUUAGAGAAGCGGUAUCUAACCAGAAAGCCACGGCUAACUACGUGCCAGCAGCCGCGGUAAUAC
rnacentral:rRNA from 1 species